AGCAGCCGCGGUAAUUCCAGCUCCAAUAGCGUAUAUUAAAGUUGUUGCAGUUAAAAAGCUCGUAGUUGAAUUUCGAGAUCAAAUUGUUGGUCGUGCCUCGGUACGUACUGGCAUUAUUGAUUUCUCCCUUCUGAAGAACCACGAUGUCAUUAAUUUGGUGUCGUGGGGAAUCAGGACCGUUACUUUGAAAAAAUUAGAGUGUUUAAAGCAGGCUCACGCUUGAAUACAUUAGCAUGGAAUAAUGAAAUAGGACGUUUGAUUCUAUUUUGUUGGUUUCUAGGAUCGACGUAAUGAUUAAUAGGGAUAGUUGGGGGCAUUAGUAUUCAAUUGUCAGAGGUGAAAUUCUUGGAUUUAUUGAAGACUAACUACUGCGAAAGCAUUUGCCAAGGAUGUUUUCAUUAAUCAAGAACGAAAGUUAGGGGAUCGAGGACGAUUAGAUACCGUCGUAGU
rnacentral:rRNA from 1 species